AUUUCUACUGUUGCUUCUGAGUCUACUUUCAGCACUGGAGGACGUGUGCUAGAUUCAUUUAGGAGCUCUUUAACUCCUAAAGUUGUGCAAUCUCUUGUUUGUGGUCAAGACUGGCUUCGCCACUCACUUCCGGUUCUAGUAGAAGAGAAGAUAGAUGACGCACAAAAGAUUGAGAGAGAUCUUCAAAAAAUUGCUAUAGAAGCGAAUGUGGAUGUACUAUGAGCCUUUGUUCUUAAUGACUUGAGUCAUGGCAGCAACAGCACCUGAGGCUGAGGAAUCACAAUUUGAUGCUCGUCAAUAUGACACCAAAAUUAAUGAAUUGUUGCAAGAUGCUAGUGCUAUGGUACUCCAUUUAUGAAGGUUGCUCAUUUUAUUUUGUUUUACUAAUUUGGAUAUUUGAUUAUUGUAAUGGUUUAAUUUUAAUAUUUUAAAGACUUGUUGGUUUCUAU